rnacentral:rRNA from 1 species
GACGAACGCUGGCGGCGUGCUUAACACAUGCAAGUCGAACGAUGAAGCUGGAGCUUGCUCCGGUGGAUUAGUGGCGAACGGGUGAGUAACACGUGAGCAAUCUGCCCUUGACUCUGGGAUAACUGCGGGAAACUGUAGCUAAUACCGGAUACGAGGCCUGAAGGCAUCUUUGGGUCUGGAAAGAAUUUCGGUCAAGGAUGAGCUCGCGGCCUAUCAGCUAGUUGGUGAGGUAAUGGCUCACCAAGGCGACGACGGGUAGCCGGCCUGAGAGGGUGACCGGCCACACUGGAACUGAGACACGGUCCAGACUCCUACGGGAGGCAGCAGUGGGGAAUAUUGCACAAUGGGCGAAAGCCUGAUGCAGCAACGCCGCGUGAGGGAUGAAGGCCUUCGGGUUGUAAACCUCUUUUAGCAGGGAAGAAGCGAAAGUGACGGUACCUGCAGAAAAAGCACCGGCUAACUACGUGCCAGCCGCCGCCGUAA